rnacentral:rRNA from 1 species
AGUGAACGCUGGCGGUAGGCCUAACACAUGCAAGUCGAACGGCAGCACAGUAAGAGCUUGCUCUUACGGGUGGCGAGUGGCGGACGGGUGAGGAAUACAUCGGAAUCUACUUUUUCGUGGGGGACAACGUAGGGAAACUUACGCUAAUACCGCAUACGACCUACGGGUGAAAGCAGGGGAUCUUCGGACCUUGCGCGAUUGAAUGAGCCGAUGUCGGAUUAGCUAGUUGGCGGGGUAAAGGCCCACCAAGGCGACGAUCCGUAGCUGGUCUGAGAGGAUGAUCAGCCACACUGGAACUGAGACACGGUCCAGACUCCUACGGGAGGCAGCAGUGGGGAAUAUUGGACAAUGGGCGCAAGCCUGUUCCAGCCAUACCGCGUGGGUGAAGAAGGCCUUCGGGUUGUAAAGCCCUUUUGUUGGGAAAGAAAAGCAGCAGGUUAAUACCCCGCUGUUCUGACGGUACCCAAAGAAUAAGCACCGGCUAACUUCGUG